rnacentral:rRNA from 1 species
UACGGAGGGUGCAAGCGUUGCUCGGAAUUAUUGGGCGUAAAGGGGAGGUAGGUGGUCUCAUUUGUCUGGGGUGAAAGCCUUGAGCUUAACUCAAGAAGUACCCCGGAAACGGUGAGACUGGAGUCCUGGAGAGGGUCGUGGAAUUCCCGGUGUAGCGGUGAAAUGCGUAGAGAUCGGGAGGAACACCUGAGGCGAAGGCGGCGACCUGGACAGGUACUGACACUCAACUCCGAAAGCGUGGGGAGCAAACAGG